rnacentral:lncRNA from 13 species
AUUUUUCCAAAGUUUUAUGCUCUGUUUCUCUUUUAAAACUGAAUGCCUUUAACAGCACCUAUGUUACCUCUUGAAGGCUUUGCUGCUUAGAAAAUGCUUCUGCCAGAUACCCUAAAUCAUUUCUCUCACAUUCAAAGUUCCACAAGUCUCUAGGGCAGGGGCAAAAUGCUGCCAGUCUCUGCCAAAACAUAACAAGAGUCACCUUUGUUCCAGUUCCCAACAAGUUCCUCAUCUCCAUCUGAGACCACCUCAGGCUGGAUUUCAUUGCCCAUAUGAUGAUCAGCAUUUGCGCAAAGCCAUUCCACAAAUAUCUAGGAAUUUCCAAACUUUGUCACAUUCAUGCCUUCUUCUGAGCCUUCCAAACUGUUACAACCUCUCCCCAGUUCCAAAGUUGCCUCCACAUUUUUUGGUAUCUUUUCAGCAGCACCCCGCUCUACUGGUACCAAUUUACUGUUUUAGCCCAUUUUCAGGCUGCUGAUAAAGACAUACGCAAGACUGGAAAAUUUGCAAAAGAAAGGUUUAUUGGACUUACAGUUCCACAUGGCUGGGGAGGCCUCACAAUCAUGGUAGAAAGUGAGAAGCAAGUCACAUCUUGAGUGAAUGGCAGCAGGCAAAUAGAGAGCUUGUGCAGAGAAACUCCUGUUAUUAAAACCAUCAGAUCUCAUGAAAUCCCUUCUCUCUCAGGAGAAUAGCAUGGGAAAGACCCAGAAAGACCCACCCCCAGGAUUCAAUUAUCUCCCACCAGGUCCCCACAGGAGCAUGGAUAAAGCUGGAAACUUCCUUCUCAGCAAAGUGACCCAAGAACAGAGAACAAAACACCACAUGUUCUCACUCAUAAGUGGGUGUUGAACAAUGAGAACACAUGGACACAGGUAGGAGAACAUCACACACCAGGGCCUGUCAUGGAGUUGGGGGGACAGAGGAGGAAUAGCAGGGGGUUAGGGUUAGGGGAAGGAUAGCAUUUAGCAUUAAGGGAAAUACCUAAUGUAGAUGAUGGGUGAUGGAUGCAGCAAACCACCAUGGCACAUGUAUACCUGUGUAACAAACCUGCACAUUCUGCACAUGUAUCCCAGAACUUAAAGUAUAAUUAGAAAAAAGAAAAAAAAUGCCUUGAAA